rnacentral:lncRNA from 1 species
GGACGAGCCCCCAAGACCUCUGCUGGCUCACCAGUGAAAUGGGUGGUGCUGCGCCCUUAGGAGGUGUAUGGUAGAGGAGCAGGACCUACAGCACAUGCGCGGAGUCCAGCCCCGGGCUGGCGGGCAACUGUCUCACCUGCUCACCUCGUGGCUUCGGCGGGCAGCUCCGGGACAUCGGGUCUUGGCGUCUUCACUCCCAGGAGAGCAGAUCCACCGCAUCAAGGGGAGCUGUGAAAACGGAAGGCAGAGCUGAGGAUGCCUGUGCCUGGGCCCUCCUACCGGGUGUCCGUCUCUGCGAGGGGGGAAGACGGGGGAGAGCGGCGCUGCCCCCACCACCUCCCGCGGGAAGGGGACGCUGCAGGUGCCCAUCACCCAGUGAGGGUGGCAUUAGCCUGGUGGCACCACCGAGCCGCCCCGCGACCCGCUGCUCCUGCCCCUGGCGAUCUGACGUUUCAGUUUCUUUCACUUAAAUUUCAAGGGCAGCAGUCACGUGUGGUUACCAGAGCGGACAGCCCAGAAGUAGAGCAUGUCAACCUCACAGACAGUUCCACGGGGCUGUUCUAGAGGGAGCAGGUCCGGGUCUGGGGACCAGGGAGACCCCGUGGAGAGGGGGGGACUCAGGAGCCUGCUCUGUCCAGCUCAGGCCUCUGACCCAUGUCCUCCUGAUGCCUCAUUCCUAGGAGACACAUGGACGCAUUCACAGGAUGGAAACAAUCCCGGCCCGUGGACAGAGCAUGUUUACAUUCUCAUCGGGGUCUCUGCAGCCUUUCUCCUUUGUCUCCUCCUCUUGGUCCUCCUCCUCCUCCAGCGCUGGCAUCAGAGGAAACGGGGGCCCCCCAGAAACAAAGGCAAGGAGCCAGAGCCCCAGGAGAGGCUCAGCCCAGCUGUUGACGUCCUAGAUGGGACACCAGGUACAGACAAGGGUGGGACAGGUCUGGGAGGGGAAGGGGGCAUUCACUGCCAUCCAGGAAGCCAUGUGCAGGGAGCAAGUUUGGGGGCAUUCUGUUCUAGAUGGGGGUGGGGGGGCAAGACUAAAUAGGAAGCUGUGAGGUUUCAGGUGAGUUUGCCCCAGAGAACAGCUCCCUUGUCCUCUCCUCUCUAGACCCGGCCA